GACGAACGCUGGCGGCGUGCUUAACACAUGCAAGUCGAACGGAAAGGCCCUGCUUUUGUGGGGUGCUCGAGUGGCGAACGGGUGAGUAACACGUGAGUAACCUGCCCCUGACUUUGGGAUAACUUCAGGAAACUGGGGCUAAUACCGGAUAGGAGCUCCUGCAGCAUGGUGGGGGUUGGAAAGUUUCGGCGGUUGGGGAUGGACUCGCGGCUUAUCAGCUUGUUGGUGGGGUAGUGGCUUACCAAGGCUUUGACGGGUAGCCGGCCUGAGAGGGUGACCGGCCACAUUGGGACUGAGAUACGGCCCAGACUCCUACGGGAGGCAGCAGUGGGGAAUAUUGCACAAUGGGCGGAAGCCUGAUGCAGCAACGCCGCGUGCGGGAUGACGGCCUUCGGGUUGUAAACCGCUUUCGCCUGUGACGAAGCGUGAGUGACGGUAAUGGGUAAAGAAGCACCGGCUAACUACGUG
rnacentral:rRNA from 1 species